rnacentral:lncRNA from 1 species
CUUGAAGACUGAACCAGCGCUGGUCUUGAUCCGUGACCUCAGAGCACACUUCUGGGUUUAAAAUCCGGGUGAACACCCACUGGGGUGUGUUCUAAGAUUGCCAGAAGCUCUUCCCAGGUCUGUCUCCUGGGAAUACAAAUAGAAGCUUCCGUUUGCCCUUUUUUUCUCCACCGAGAGGCACACUCGCGUUUUCUCUGGACCAAUUCGACCCUCUGUGGAGGAAGAGCUUUGAUCCCGCCGCUGAAGGCAUCUUUCUUUUCAGUCUCCACCCUUCAUUACUCUACCCAAAUGACCUAUCCUUCCCGGCCACCCUAGCGCCCAAGAGUGGAGAGAGGAGUCCUCGCACACUCGCUUUGCAGCGUCUGUCUUCCGCAGAGCCCACGCACUCGGACGCUGUUGGGAGUACGACAUGCUGUUGGGGCAAGAUCUCUAGUGCCAGGCAGUGCUGGUGGCGCUGCUCCGGUGAUAGGGUGACAGCAUCCUUCCUG